CAUGUAUUAAAGCGAUCGAGUCACGAUGGUAUCUACAGUCGAAAAAUGCCAACGUAAAGCUUUCAGUUUGUCAUCCAGGAGAUUUUAUUUUGUAUAUGAGAGAUGACACAGCAACAAAUGCAAGAGUAGGUGAUGAAACGAAGAUGAUGAUGAUGAUGAGACGACAGGAGCCAUGGAUGUUGAAAUCAGUCCGGAGGAGAUGUCUUUAAAUACACUGUUUGUGCACUGAUAUAAACUUCAUAUGUAAAUAAAGUACCGCGUUAUUACUACG